UGGUUUUUUUCCUUGCGUCGGACUCAUGCACACACACACACACAAACACACACAUCCCCUCAUGGACACGCCUGGUGCUCCUGCAGGUGACUUCCUGUAUCUCCUGAGUACAUGUUAAUGUGUGUGUUUAUCUGUGGAGUUUAUUUCUGUUGGGGACGUGUAAAUUCCCUCACUAUCCCUCAUGGUGCAUACAGCACAGCCAACUGUAUGCAUGUAUGUAUUUAUGCAUUAUGAAUUGUGUGAAAUGCAUAUAUACUCGCUGUAUGUCCUUAUAUACUCAUGUAGUACUUGACCCUUGGGUUUUGUGAUACCUCUGAAGGUAAAGUUGAAGAAAUGAUGAACAACGUUACAGGAAGGAGGGAACACUGUUACCAGCGAUUUUAAUUGUGGAACCAGAUUUUUGGCUGGUUGUUGUAGCAUCCAGAGACCCUGGUAUCCCCUCUCUGUGUAUGGAAGCGUAUGUCCCCGCUAUGUAUAAUAGUGUACAGAUGUGUGUAUAUCACUUUGAGGCCAAGGCAGAGGAGUGUGUGUGCAUGGUUGGCUAGAAUGAUCUACUGUGCUAUCCGAGGUUUAGUGCAUGACCUAGCUGUAACCCCCCUCGACCCUUCCAAUGGUGCCGUCCUGCGACAGAAAUUGUAAUCCAGAGAGAGAGAGCCUCCUUAAUGGACGUUCCUCAGCUUCACACUUGUUUUAUUCCAUGUGGAGUACAGUAGGUUCACGUCCUGGUGCUCUCAGUGAGCAUUUGGUUUUGACGUCAUCCGACAACGAGCUGGAAUUUCCUACACAAUUUCCAGAAUAUUAUCGCAUGUCUUUUAGCGCGGGGGGGGGGGGGGGAUUCCUGAGCCAUCACCUGAAUGCCUAAGCAUUAAAAUUCAUCUCCACUGACUGCACUGAAUACUAGGAGCGCUUUACUUCUCCGGUGACGAAGAAUGACAAGGUGAAAGAGGGGUUAUUGAUCCUUGAUAAACCGCAAAAUCUCAGUCGCAUGAAGACGUUUCCUCACAUUUUGUGCAUUCAGUGUAAAAUGUUUUGGCUAUUCAGGGAGAAAGUUUACACUUAGUCAUAGUGGAGCAGGCCUUCCACACAACCACUCAGUGCUACUGCUUCAUUCAGUCACGGAUCAUCUCUUCUUGUGUCCAACACACGCGCACACACACGCACACACACAAUCACAUCUGCAGCACAACAUGUGCAAAAUUAAAACUAAGAGAAGCAAAAAAGAAUAGAAGAGACAUACCACUAGAUACCUUAAUCACCUCUUGGACGUUUCCUUUUCGUUAUCUUCUCUCGAACCCUUUUCAUCCUUGUUUAGAGGCCCAGGCCAGCCCCCCUCCAUACGCCCUCUGAGCUUCGCCCUUUGAACUUUGCCCUUUAUUAACCUUGCUUCUUCUCGACUUGAUGUUAGUGGGUAUUUUUCCUGUGUAUUCCAUUUUGAAUUGUAAUCUAGUUUGUAUAAGAAAUGGUGCGCAUGUAAAUAAAGCUUGGUGAGGCUCCACACCCUUUCUGUCUCCUCGUCUGAGCUCACUUUGUCACUAUAAAAGUAUGAAAACAUUACAAGUGCAUCAACUUCACGAGCG
ensembl:lncRNA